UACGUAGGGUGCGAGCGUUGUCCGGAAUUAUUGGGCGUAAAGGGCUCGUAGGCGGUUUGUCGCGUCGGGAGUGAAAACACCGGGCUUAACUCGGUGCUUGCUUUCGAUACGGGCAGACUAGAGGUAUGCAGGGGAGAACGGAAUUCCUGGUGUAGCGGUGAAAUGCGCAGAUAUCAGGAGGAACACCGGUGGCGAAGGCGGUUCUCUGGGCAUGACCUGACGCUGAGGAGCGAAAGUGUGGGGAUCAAACAGG
rnacentral:rRNA from 1 species